CAGGUUAUGAAAGUGUAGAAUUAUGAAACGACACCCGUAGUGUGGUUACACAGGAGCUUUAUCUUUCGAAAGUUUCUAAUUCACAGCUUCCGAGGGGAUGUGCUCUGCCUGACAGUUGAUACCCAGGUUGUGGGAAGACCGGGGCUAAAAGCAGAAAUGCCCCCAAGAUCCUGUUUUGGACCCGGGCAGCAUCACCUGUAUCCCGUGCAAUUUUGGUAGCUGGCCUCCCGGUUUUCUGCUGCAUUUUGGGGAUUCACAGACUGGCGGGCUCACCACGCAGGCAGAAAUGACUUGUUUGGUCCUCUGGUUUCUAAUGACAUUUCCUAGCGGUGUGACCUUGACGGGUCGGUGAGCGGAGACAGCCUCGACCAACUCAUCUGUGUGAUUGAGAGAAUGCCGGGACCUGUCCUGCCAAGGAGUCUGGCUGAGAGUGUGAGCUCCGGCUCAGGACGGCCUAGGGCCCCCGUUCUGGGGUCAACAGGUGGUGCUGGCAAGCAGCUAAGAACAGCUUACCAGACACAGAGACCUAAGUCUAGUAUCUUCAGCACAUGAAAAGAACAAAACGAAACCAAAGGUGGGCUGCUCAGAGCUGGUCUGUUGUCGCAUGAAGACAUCAGUGGCCUGGGCUGUUCUUGUUUUUCUGCUUUGCCAUCCUUCCCGCCUUGCUUCCAAGUUCAAGGUUACAAGAUGCCUGGUACACUGAGGCCCCAGGGUCUGCAUUCCAGGUGAGAAGUGGGAAGAAGAGAGCAAGGCACUUCCCCACUUCUGCUGUCUGUUCUGUUUUGUUUCUUUUCUUUCUUUCUUUCUUUCUUUUUUUUUUUUUAAAGAUUUUAUUUAUUUGAGAGAGAGAGUGAGCCCACACAAGCAGGGGAGGGGCAGACAGGCAGAAAGUGAAGCAGACUCCCCACUGAGUAGGGAGGCUGACAUGGGACUCCAUCCCAGGGCCCCAAGAUCAUGCUCUGAGCGGAAAGCAGGUGGGCUGAGCCACCCAGGCAGGGGCUCCUGUCUAUUCCCUUUUAAAGAGCCUCCCCAGAAGUUCAGUGUCAGAGCUCCUCGGCUGUGUGACCUUGGGCAAAUUAGACAGACUCUCUGAGGCUCAUUUCCUCAUCUGUAGGCUGACAGUAGCAGCUCCCGCCUCCCCGCGUGUGUGGGAAAGAACGCGCAGAUACAGCCCCGGCUGGGUUGUGUGAAAAUCGCGCUUGCAGUUGGGUGCGGGCCGCACGAGCUCAGUGCUCCUGCUGCAGAAGAUCGUGGCCCGAGAAUGCAGAACCACCCCCUUUCCUCGUCCCGAAGUGCUGCUGGGAGGCACGGAAAGCGGAACUGGACCCUGUAAGGAAAAUCACUGUGAAAUCCCACACACGGAUUGUUAAGUGUCCUUUAGGGAACUUUAUUUCAGCUGAUUCACUGAUUCUUAAAUGGCCCACUGUAGGCAAAUGAUUUAGCAUCUUCAAUUCUUGGUUUCCUCAUCUGAAGAAAGGGAAAACAACGGCGUCUACCUCCUAGGGUUUCUGGGAGGAUGCAAUGAGGUCAUGAUCUCUGGGUCGUGAGAUUGAGCCGUGUCAUGCUCUGCACUCAUCACGGAGUCUGCUCAGAGUCUCCCUUUCCUUCUCCUUCCUUCCCUACCCUGACUCAUGCACUCUGUAAACAAACAAACAAACAAAUAAAUAAAAUCUUUUAAAAAAUUGGUUAAAGAUAUAAAUAUAACAUUAAAAUGAUUACACUCUCAAACACUUUUAGCAUGUAGAUCUUUGUGACUUUGGAUUAGGCAAUGAUUUCCUAGAUGUGGCCCAUUAAAGCACAAGAACCAAAGAGUGAAUUGGAUUUCAUCAAACUUUAAGUUUCGUGCUUUAAGGACACUAUCAAGCAAGCAAAAAGAGGGGCGCCUGGGCGGCUCAGUUGGUUAAGCGUCUGCCCUCGGCUCAGGUCACGAACCCAAGGUCCUGGGAUUGAGCCCGCAUCAGGUUCCAGGCUCAGAGGGGAGCCUGCUCCUCCUUUUGCCUCCCUCCCCUCCCCACUUGUGCUCUCUUUCUCUUUUUACUCACUGUCUCUCAAAUAAAUAAGUAAAUGAAAAUCUUUAAGAAAGCAAAAAGACAACCCAUGGGAUGGUAGAAGAUAUUUGCAAACCAUAUAUCUAAAAAGGACCUACUGUCUAGAAUAUAUGUAAAGAAUUCUUACAACUCAACAAGAGAAAGACAACCCAAAUAAAAAUGGCAGAAGACUUGAAUAAACAUAUCUCCAAACGAAAUACAAAAGUAGCCAAGAAGCACAUGAAAAAAACUGCUCAGUAUGAUUAGUCAUCAGGAGAUUGCAAAUAAAAGCACCAUGAGAUACACUUUAUAUUUACUAGGAUGGCAAUAACAACAAUAAUAAUAACGACAGACAAUAGCAUGCAUGUGUUGGCAAGGACGUAACGAAAUUGGAAUCCUUAUACAUGGCAGGCGGGCACCUUGAAUGGUACGGCCAUUUUGGAAAACCAAUUUGGCAGUUACUGAGAAGGUGAAAUAUGGAGUUAGCACAUGACCCAACCUUUCUAC